rnacentral:rRNA from 1 species
GAUCAUGGCUCAGGAUGAACGCUGGCGGCGUGCCUAACACAUGCAAGUCGAGCGAUUCUCUUCGGAGAAGAGCGGCGGACGGGUGAGUAACGCGUGGGUAACCUGCCUCAUACACAUGGAUAACAUACCGAAGGGUAUGCUAAUACAGGAUAAUAUAAGAGAUUCACAUGGAUUUCUUAUCAAAGCUCCGGCGGUAUGAGAUGGACCCGCGUCUGAUUAGCUAGUUGGUAAGGUAACGGCUUACCAAGGCGACGAUCAGUAGCCGACCUGAGAGGGUGAUCGGCCACAUUGGAACUGAGACACGGUCCAAACUCCUACGGGAGGCAGCAGUGGGGAAUAUUGCACAAUGGGCGGAAGCCUGAUGCAAGCAACGCCGCGUGAGUGAUGAAGGCCUUCGGGUCGUAAAACUCUGUCCUCAAGGAAGAUAAUGACGGUACUUGAGGAGGAAGCCCCGGCUAACUACGUGCCAGCAGCAGC